rnacentral:lncRNA from 1 species
CAAAUAUAGAUAUUUAUUUAUUUUUUGGAUCUGGAUAUGGAGCGAAAAAUAUGGAUUCAUAACGAAUCUGGAGCAUAUACGGAUCUUGAUUUUUAUUAUGGAUUUGGAUCUGGAGCAGAGUAGAUCCAACCCAUAUCUGCCCCAUUGCCAUCCCUAGAAAAAGCGGAUUCGGGUAUUGAUUUUCAAUGCCCGGCUGUUUCCGGGCACGGGUCCGGUCACAGCACUAAGAACCCGGAACCCGAACCCAUGCCCGCUUUUUUAUUAAGUAAAAAAAAAAGAGGAAAAUAUAAAAACGAAAAUUGCAUUUUCCUUUGCCCAAUUUCCCCCAAACCCAACCGGCCAGCCAACCCUAAAUCGCGAAUUUGCGACAAGUCUCAGAAGUCAGAAUCGGCACCUCCUCCCCUCGUCUCUCCACCAACAGCCACCACCCAUCUUCACCGAUGGCGAUGCAGUGUUGACAGUUGACCGCGCCUCUCCCUCCACGAACCGCAAAGCACAGUCGUCAGUCCGUCACAGAUCCCUUCACUGUUUGGUCAGCUUCUUAGCGGCAGCCACCGCGCGACGGCGUCCGCCACCAUAGCUGGUCUCACACUCUCACUCCAUGGUUUUGUCACCAUAUCAGCUGCAACCCCGCCAUCACAGCCACGACCCACGAGGUAAUUAUUUUUUUGGCUGUUUUUUCAAAAAAAAUGAUGAAAUUGCUUUCAAUUUUUUUUUGCUUUCAAUUGCUUUAAAAAAAAAUGAAGAAAUUAUUUUGGUGUAUGAUUUGCGUUUUAAUUUUUGUGUGUUGUGAGAAAGGACGGUUUUUGCAAGUUGGGUUUGCAAGUGGGAAAAGGGCUUUUAAUGAAUCCUCAUUUCAAUAUGUUUAAUCAGUGAAUUUCAAAGUUAUCCAGUAUCCAUACGUUUCUGAUUCUGUCCCAUAUAUUAUGGGAGUUUGAUUUUGACCUCAUUUGAAUUCAUCAUCACUCAAAUCCGGGUAGAGAAAACCCAGAAAAAAACCCGUGCUCGCAUAGAAAAAUUCCGGGCACGGUGCGGGUAGCCCCAAACCCAGACCCGACCCAGACUUUUGCCAUCUCUAGAAAUAAUUGUUGAAGCUGUUACAAAUCCUUUGAAUUCAAAAGGUGCCAAGUUUGCAUGGAUGAUUUUGGGCUACAUUCGCGUACGCAGGACGUGCGGGUGCACACGAGUUCAACCAAAUCGGUCUUGGAUUUGCACCCCCCUGCGCGCGCGCGUGUGGAGAGAACCUUUAUCCUUAUAAUUCUUACUCAUGCAUGGUUACGUGUUUAUGUAUAAACACUAAUCCCUAGGCUUCUUUUUCCUAUGUGGGAUAAGACUCAUUUUCUUUCAAAUUUCCAACUUUAAAAGUGAACUUUGAGAGAUAAUUUCUCAUUCACCCAAGUACUAUUUUGAGAAAAUAAGAUUAUACUUUUAAAGUAUCAACAGAGUAGUAUCCGAACCUCACAAGAUUUUCCACUUUCGUUAAGUGAGACUCACUCAAAAUAUGCUCUCAAAAUAGCAUGAUAUGCUAUUUUUUCAACAUAUUAUUCAUAAGUAGUAAAUUAUGGUUUCCUCUGGUGUUAUGACAAAGCUAGACAUUUACAUUUGACUACAAACAAGAUUUCAAACCUAAUCAAUUACCUAGACAAAAGGUUAAAUGUAUAAUUUGAAAAGGGAGAAUUUAAAAUUGGCAAGAUUGAUGGAGCCCUAAUUGCAGCACUCAAUUUGAUUGAUCUGUCAGUGGUUGGCGUAGAUUAGGAUGUAGACGCAAUCAGCAACAAGCAAAUUCGUUAUAGAGAGUGGGCGGAAGUUCACCAUUUACAAAGAUCCCAAAAGCAUAAUAACCCGCUGGGACUAUUUAAACCCACCAAUUUUCUCUUU